GACGAACGCUGGCGGCGUGCUUAACACAUGCAAGUCGAACGGAAAGGCCCUGCUUUUGUGGGGUGCUCGAGUGGCGAACGGGUGAGUAACACGUGAGUAACCUGCCCUUGACUUUGGGAUAACUUCAGGAAACUGGGGCUAAUACCGGAUAGGAGCUCCUGCUGCAUGGUGGGGGUUGGAAAGUUUCGGCGGUUGGGGAUGGACUCGCGGCUUAUCAGCUUGUUGGUGGGGUAGUGGCUUACCAAGGCUUUGACGGGUAGCCGGCCUGCGAGGGUGACCGGCCACAUUGGGACUGAGAUACGGCCCAGACUCCUACGGGGGGCAGCGGUGGGGAAUAUUGCACAAUGGGCGGAAGCCUGAUGCAGCAACGCCGCGUGCGGGAUGACGGCCUUCGGGUUGUAAACCGCUUUCGCCUGUGACGAAGCGUGAGUGACGGUAAUGGGUAAAGAAGCACCGGCUAACUACGUG
rnacentral:rRNA from 1 species